UACGUAGGGUGCGAGCGUUGUCCGGAAUUACUGGGCGUAAAGAGCUCGUAGGUGGUUUGUCGCGUUGUUCGUGAAAACCGGGGGCUUAACCCUCGGCGUGCGGGCGAUACGGGCAGACUUGAGUACUGCAGGGGAGACUGGAAUUCCUGGUGUAGCGGUGAAAUGCGCAGAUAUCAGGAGGAACACCGGUGGCGAAGGCGGCAUCCUGGACCGACACUGACGCUGAGGAGCGAAAGCCAGGGGAGCAAACGGG
rnacentral:rRNA from 1 species